rnacentral:rRNA from 1 species
CCUACGGGUGGCUGCAGUGGGGAAUAUUGCACAAUGGGGGGAACCCUGAUGCAGCAACGCCGCGUGGGUGAAGAAGUACUCCGGUAUGUAAAGCUCUGUCAGCAGGGAAGAAAAUGACGGUACCUGACCAAGAAGCCCCGGCUAACUACGUGCCAGCAGCCGCGGUAAUACGUAGGGGGCAAGCGUUAUCCGGAUUUACUGGGUGUAAAGGGAGCGUAGACGGCAAUGCAAGUCUGAAGUGAAAGCCCGUGGCCCAACCAUGGGACUGCUUUGGAAACUGUGUUGCUGGAGUGCAGGAGGGGUAAGCGGAAUUCCUAGUGUAGCGGUGAAAUGCGUAGAUAUUAGGAGGAACACCAGUGGCGAAGGCGGCCUGCUGGACUGCGACUGACGUUGAGGCACGAAAGCGUGGGGAGCAAACAGGAUUAGAUACCCGAGUAGUC